rnacentral:tRNA from 1 species
GCACUCAUAACUCAGUGGUAGAGUGCGGGAUUGCAGAUCCUGAAGUCACCGGUUCGAUCCCGGUUGGGUGCU